AAGAAAAGGAUGAAUUUGAAGGUGAAAUCCGAUGCUUCAAGUGCAAAGGCUACGGUCACAUCGCAACGGAUUGUCCCUCAAAGAAAUCAUAUAGUAAGAAGGCAUUGCAAGCAAAGACGUGGGAUGAUGCAACUUCAAGUGAUUCAAGCUCGAGUGACGAAGAAAAGAAUGGAAACCUUGCUUUAUUUGCUAAAUCUACCUUGCCUUCGUCUAACGAUCCUCUAUUGCUACUAAUUCCAAUAUUUCUCUUUCUUCGCAUGAUUCUUCGAGCGACAAUGGCAAAAGCGAGGAGGAAUCAAACGACAACGACAUAGCGGAAGCGUACAAUCAACUUCUUAUUGAAUCAAAGAAGAUGGCUAAACUUAAUAAGAAGUUGAGGCGUCGUUUGUUGAAUCUUGAAGAGGACAACAACAACUUGAAGACCACAAACAAAGCUCUUGAGGAGGAAAGGGAAUCAAUUUUGAAAAAUAAUUCGGACCUCCAAGAGAAGCUCAAUGAAACGGAAUAAACGAUCUAAUCAUGUAAAGACAAGAUUGGAUUUUUAGAACAUCAAUUUCAUGAAUCGCACAAAUCCAAUCAAUCCUUGAUCAACCAAUUCGACAACUCCAAAUCGACAUUCAAAAGUUUUCAUUGAGAUCUAAGAAAUUGGAUAAAAUGCUUGGAUUGGGUCAAACGGAUAAAUUAGGCCUCGGAGACGAAAGAGUUUUUGUUGAGAAGGAUUCUAAAUCAACUUCGAAAGUCUCAACAACUUUGAAAGACAAGGCGUGUCAUCGUUGUGGCAUUAAAGGACACAUCAAAAAGAAUUGCUCAAACAAGGAAAAGAUGAAUCAAUCGGCAAGGACUUCACAUCAUUCGACAACUCCUAAAGCUCAAGCGGCAUCAUCUACAACUCGACUUCCCCCGCGGAAUCAAAAGAAAAAUCAAGUGAGUCGAGUAUCUCAAAAGAAUCGGACUUCUAAACCGCAACGCCAAGUUCUAACUUAGCCUCAAGUGAAGAAAACACCAACGGUUGAUCUAAAAUCUAAGCAAAUGGCAUCAAACGUCGACAAGUCGAGAAAACCAAAGAUCCGACAAGUUUGGAUCCGGAAAGGUGAUAUCUUUCCUUGCUUCUCGUCUUAGUUGUUUUUUGAUUGCUUGUGUAGUGCUUUGAUAGGUGCUUAUUGCAUAUGUUUAUUCGCUGCAUUACAUGUUUAAAUAAUUUUUGGUGCUUUGAAUUUUGUUUGUUUAAAGAUCAUUUUGAGGAAAGGUGUUUGGGAAUUUAAAAAUUUUUCUUUGAGAGAGGAGAUGAUUGAGAAUCAUUAUUUUGAGGAGAGAAAUUUUUCAAAAUUGUUUAAACGGUGUUUAACUUCACAAUCAUAUUAAUUAUCGUUUUUACUCCACUUUUUAUUAUUUUGACGAUAAUUUAAUAUAUGAUUUCUCAAUACAUAUAUUUAUCAAAAUUUUGAAAUCAAAUUUGAUCUCUUGAUGAUUAAUCUAUCUCGGUUGUGGGUGUUGAAUAUGACAGAUGGAUAUUCGCUAAUAGGUUUCCUCAUCUAAUUUAAUCGUUUUUACCUCAUCUAAUCUCAAGUUUCAGCUUCUAGCUGAAUUCAUAUUGUUCUAUUAGGUUUCCUCAUAGAAUUACAUGCUAGUAGCAAGUUCUAACAUCCAAAAUCUGUUAAGGUUUUUGUAUUGGCAAGUUUCGUGAAAUGAGUCAGAGUCUUGAAGAAUCGAAGCAGAUUGACGAAGAUUGAAGAAUUCAAUAUUUCGAAGAUUUUGGAAAGUAGCUCACAAUGUGAAUCACGAUGUAAAGGUAAAGUUUUAAUUCAUUUUAUGGUGAUUCAUACUUAGUUAUAGACAUUAAAAUCAUAAACUUAAAGUUUAAUGAAUUAGAAAGUGCCUCGGAACAUUGUGAUACCCGAAACAGUGCAAAGUGUGAAAUUUGCACUGUGUACGGGUACAGCAAGUGCCCCGUACUGGUACAGCCAUCAACAUUGGCAAUGCAAAUUUUCGUUCCGUCAUUGUGUAACCGGUGACAGCUUUUCGCGUACCGGUACACAGUGUAAAAUCGUGAAAACUUUCUAAUCCGACUCCAAUUGAUUCUAAAGUCUAUAAAUAAGCUAUUCGGUUUUUCUAACAGAUUAAGGAUCACGAAAAUACAUGUUUGAGAAACCCUAGAGGCUCGGAUUUCAUCUAAAACCUAUUUUCUACAUAUUAGCCUCUUUUAGGUCAAAUCGAGAUAUUGAAAUUUCAUAUCUAUAUGUCGAUUUGAUCUCCGCUUCGCUUGGAGUUUCUUUCUUUGGUUUUCAUCGAUACUCUAAGCGAAGGAUCACCAUACUCAUGAUGUUCUUCAUGGUGGCGUCGUGGAUUCGGCGUGUUUAACGGCGGUUCGUGAAUUCGAAUCGUGGGCUCGUGGAUUCGAGUGGCGUUCGUAGAUUCGGACGUGUGCGAGGCGUUCGUGGAUUCGAACGUGAGGGCGUGGACAACCCAGAGGAUUGCGCGAGAUUCAUAGGAUGUUAAGAGAGGUUGAGUCCGUGGAGUCGGUAAUCACCUUGUAAUUUUUUCUUUUAGUGAAUUAUUUUUUCGCGUGUUGGUCCCGUGGGUUUUUUACUCCAAGUUGGAGUUUUCCCACGUAAAUCUCGGUGUGAUUUUUAUUUUCCGCAUUUAUUUUUAUCGCAUUGAGAUUUGUGGUUUUUGGCUAUUUCACCUAUUCACCCCCCUCUAGGUGAUAGAUACAAUAUAGAUAGAUCCUUGGGCUCCUCAAAACUUUCAAUUGGUAUCAAAGAAGGAUCUAGAUAAAUUGUUUAUCUAAUGGUCGAAAGUGGAAACAUUAAUCGACCACCGCUCUUCGAUGGCACAAACCCUAUUGGAAAGUUCGCAUGAGUGCUUUUCUAAUUGCAAUCGAUGAGCGCGUUUGGCAAUCAAUAGAAUUUGGAUGGGAACCUCCCAUUGAAAAGGUCAAGAAUGUUGAAAUGCCAAAACAACGGAACAAGUAGACGAAAGAUGAAAACGAGGCAUCUUCGUUUAACGGUAAGGGCAUAAACGCUUUAUUUAAUGCAUUGUCUCAAAAGGAGUUUACUCGUGUUUCGGCGUGUGAAACCGCCAAGGAGAUUUGGGAUAUUCUUCAAGUUACACAUGAAGGAACGAGCUUAGUAAAGGUCCAAAAGUAGCAAAUGCUAACAAGCAAGUUUGAUUCUACUUGUAUGGAUGAAAAUGAGACCUUUACCGAGUAUUAUACGCAUCUACAAGACGUUGUGAAUACAUGUGCUAACUUGGGAGAGAAAAUCUCGGAUUCAAAGGUUGUUAGAAAGAUUCUUCGAACUCUUCUGGAACGCUUUCGGGCAAAAGUUGCCGCGAUCGAAACCGUUAAGCAUCCGGAUGAGAUGAAAGUCGAAGAGUUAGUAGGCGCUUUACAAACAUAUGAGAUGACUUUUCCUACUAAUCAAUCUUCUUCGAAGUCUUUCUCUAAAAGCACAGGGGUUGCAUUGAAAUCGACGAAAGAGGAAGACGGCGACUCGAAUUCCGAUGGAGAGAUCUCAAUUGCCGACUUCGAACAUCAACUUGCGCUCCUCACGAAAAAGUUUCGCCGGAAUUUCCGAAAGAAGAACAAUUCGGACAAGGCUACAUCAUCUAAGCAACAAACGUUUUUUAAAUCUUCUACAUCUAAAGAGAAGAAGCAUGCAAAGGCUUCGAAAGAAAAGGAUGAAUUUGAAGGUGAAAUCCGAUGCUUCAAGUGCAAAGGCUACGGUCACAUCGCAACGGAUUGUCCCUCAAAGAAAUCAUAUAGUAAGAAGGCAUUGCAAGCAAAGAUGUGGGAUGAUGCAACUUCAAGUGAUUCAAGCUCGAGUGACGAAGAAAAGAAUGGAAACCUUACUUUAUUUGCUAAAUCUACCUUGCCUUCGUCUAACGUUGUUUGUUUAUCCUCUAUUGCUACUAAUUCCAAUAUUUCUCUUUCUUCGCAUGAUUCUUCGAGCGACAAUGGCAAAAGUGAGGAGGAAUCAAACGACGACGACAUAGCGGAAGCGUACAAUCAACUUCUUAUUGAAUCAAAGAAGAUGGCUAAACUUAAUAAGAAGUUGAGGCGUCGUUUGUUGAAUCUUGAAGAGGACAACAACAACUUGAAGACCACAAACAAAGCUCUUGAGGAGGAAAGGGAAUCAAUUUUGAAAAAUAAUUCAGACCUCCAAGAGAAGCUCAAUGAAGCGGAAUCAACGAUCAAAUCAUCUAAAAACAAGAUUGGAUUUUUGGAGCAUCAAUUUCAUGAAUCGCACAAAUCCAAUCAAUCCUUGAUCAACCAAGUUCGACAACUCCAAAUCGACAUUCAAAAGUUUUCAUCGAGAUCUAAGAAAUUGGAUAAAAUGCUUGGAUUGGGUCAAACGGAUAAAUUAGGCCUCGGAUACGAAAGAAUUUUUGUUGAGAAGGAUUCUAAAUCAACUUCGAAAGUCUCAACAACUUUGAAAGACAAGGCGUGUCAUCGUUGUGGC
rnacentral:lncRNA from 1 species